rnacentral:rRNA from 1 species
CCUACGGGAGGCAGCAGUGAGGAAUAUUGGUCAAUGGACGAAAGUCUGAACCAGCCAAGCCGCGUGAAGGAUGAAUGCCCUAUGGGUUGUAAACAUCUUUUGUGAGGGGAUAAAAUGAGGCGCGAGUGCCUUUACGCAUGGACUUUAUGAAUAAGGAUCGGCUAACUCCGUGCCAGCAGCCGCGGUAAUACGGAGGAUCCGAGCGUUAUCCGGAUUUAUUUUGUUUAAAGGGAGCGUAGCUGGGUUGGUAAGUCAGUUGUGAAAGUCUCGGGCUCAACCUGAGAAGUGCACUUGAUACUGGCAGGCUUGAGUAUAGUAGAGGUAGGCGGAAUUCGUGGUGUAGCGGUGAAAUGCUUAGAGAUCACGAAGAACCCCGAUGGCGAAGGCAGCUUACUGGACUGUGACUGACGUUGAGGCGCGAAAGCGUGGGUAUCAAACAGGAUUAGAUACCCUAGUAGUC